GAUGAACGCUAGCGAUAGGCUUAACACAUGCAAGUCGAGGGGCAGCAUGGUCUUAGCUUGCUAAGGCUGAUGGCGACCGGCGCACGGGUGCGUAACGCGUAUGCAACUUGCCUCACAGAGGGGGAUAACCCGUCGAAAGACGGACUAAUACCGCGUACACUCUAUGUUGGGCAUCCAAUGUAGAGGAACUGAAAUUCGCUGUGAGAUAGGCAUGCGUCCCAUUAGCUAGUUGGUGAGGUAACGGCUCAACAAGGCGACGAUGGGUAGGGGAACUGAGAGGUUGAACCCCCACACUGGUACUGAGACACGGACCAGACUCCUACGGGAGGCAGCAGUGAGGAAUAUUGGUCAAUGGGCGAGAGCCUGAACCAGCCAAGUCGCGUGAAGGAUGACUGUCUUAUGGAUUGUAAACUUCUUUUAUACGGGAAUAACAAGAGUCACGUGUGGCUCCCUGCAUGUACCGUAUGAAUAAGCAUCGGCUAACUCCGUG
rnacentral:rRNA from 1 species